UUUUCAGUGUCGCAGGGAAACCGAUAAACACACCGCCUGGGGAGUACGACCGCAAGGUUAAAACUCAAAUGAAUUGACGGGGACCCGCACAAGUAGUGGAGCAUGUGGUUUAAUUCGAAGAUACGCGCAGAACCUUACCAACACUUGACAUGUUCGUCGCGACUCUAAGAGAUUAGAGUUUUCGGUUCGGCCGGACGAAACACAGGUGCUGCAUGGCUGUCGUCAGCUCGUGUCGUGAGAUGUUGGGUUAAGUCCCGCAACGAGCGCAACCCUCACUUUUAGUUGCCAUCAUUAAGUUGGGCACUCUGAAAGAACUGCCAGUGAUAAGCUGGAGGAAGGUGGGGAUGACGUCAAGUCCUCAUGGCCCUUACGUGUUGGGCUACACACGUGCUACAAUGGUAUCUACAACAGGAAGCAAGACUGCGAAGUUAAGCAAAUCCCUAAAAGAUACCUCAGUUCGGAUUGCACUCUGCAACUCGAGUGCAUGAAGCUGGAAUUACUAGUAAUCGUGGAUCAGCGUGCCACGGUGAAUGCGUUCCCGGGUCUUGUACACACCGCCCGUCACACCAUGGGAGUUGGUUCUACCUUAAGGCAAGGUUUCAAACCCUUGACCACGGUAUAGUCAGCGACUGGGGUGAAGUCGUAACAAGGUAGCCGUAGGGGAACCUGCGGCUGGAUUACCUCCUU
rnacentral:rRNA from 1 species